UACGGAGGGGGCUAGCGUUGUUCGGAAUUACUGGGCGUAAAGCGCACGUAGGCGGCUUUGCAAGUUAGAGGUGAAAGCCCGGGGCUCAACUCCGGAAUUGCCUUUAAAACUGCAUCGCUAGAAUUGUGGAGAGGUAAGUGGAAUUCCGAGUGUAGAGAUGAAAUUCGUAGAUAUUCGGAAGAACACCAGUGGCGAAGGCGACUUACUGGACACAUAUUGACGCUGAGGUGCGAAAGCGUGGGGAGCAAACAGG
rnacentral:rRNA from 1 species